GUUCUUAUAGUUGAAUUACAACGGUGAUUUUUCAUGUCAUUGGUCGUGGAUAAGUCCAUGUAAGAAUA
rnacentral:tRNA from 1 species